rnacentral:tRNA from 1 species
GCUGAAAUGGCGGAAUAGGUAGACGCGCAGGACUUAAAAUCCUGUGAGACUUAAAUCUCGUGUGGGUUCGAUUCCCACUUUUAGUA